rnacentral:tRNA from 2 species
GGGCCCAUAGCUUAAUUGGCCAAGCGCCUGCCUUACAAGCAGGAGUCAUGCAGGUUCAAGUCCUGCUGGGCCCACCA